AAUUCGACAAUCCUCACACAGUUUUGCCAUUUCAGAGAACUGAGCUGCCGAGGAAGAAAACUGUUGAGCAGAACCUGUUUUAUAUACUUACUUGUUCUCCAAACUUUGGGACCAUGAAGACUAUCCUUGCAAUACUUGUCGUCCUUGCAUUGGUGGGUUGUUCCGUUGAAUCGGUACUACCAAGGGAUCUCCGGUGUCCGUGCAAGGUUGGCCCCGACGGUAAAUGCAAGUUCAAUUCAGGCGGAGGUAGUAGCUGCGUCUGUGAGGAGAAACAUGAGGUAUUUUUCAUGUUCAGCUGUACAAACAAAUAACGCACCUACGCCACCUCACCAAUGAGAU